rnacentral:lncRNA from 10 species
CUCACUGCAACCUCCGCCUACCAGGUUCAAGCAAUUCUCUUGCCUCAGCCUCCCGAGUAGCUGGACUACAGGCGCGUGCCACCAUGCCCAAUUAAUUUUUUUUUUUUUUUGUAUUUUUAGUAGAGACGGGGUUUUACCAAGCUGGCCAGGCUGGUCUCGAACUCCUGACUUCGUGAUCUGCCCGCCUUGGCCUCCCAAAGUGCUGGGAUUAAAGGUGUGAGCCACCACGCCUGGCCGGAUCUACCUUUUUUAAGUGACUCAAGCACAAACACCCCUGGAAACACAUUCCUUGUGGUAACCUGAAACCUCCCAUUUGGGCAAGAUUCUGAUUGAUUUCAGCAGAACAAAGAGACAGUUGCAUCUCAUUUGAAACCCAGAUGAGGAGCUCCAUAUUUCAUUUUAAAUUGGGAGUGAUAAUGGUUGGGUGGUCAAUACUUCAAGAGAAGCGGGAAAAAAGCCCAACAAUAUUGAGUAGUGCUAGUGUACAGUGGCUAUUUUUCUGGGCUGGAACUGGUUAACUAAGAAUUGAAAAGUCACCCUCUGGUAGCCUGAACAGGAACCUGCAGUCUGCAAACACUUAUUCCCAUCAACACUGCUCCAAGGAGGUGCCGAAACGCUGGGUGCCUCAUUCUGAUCUUGCGUCUGUCCUGGUAUGAAUUAACAGAGGGGAACAGGAAGUGGAUCGACACUGUUCAUAAGUAAGGAGGCCGAGCAGGAGUGGGGGGUCCUUCUGCUUUCAAUCAAGAGAGAGGGCACAAUCUGAGGCGUCAUCAGUGCAUCUCAACCAUCGGUAAACCCAGGCUUCUGCAGGGAGCUGGGAUUCUUUAUGGAUGGAAUUACACACUUUGUUUCUCUCCACAGAAUCACCAGUUCACCUUUUCCUUUGGAAUAACCAUCUUUUAUUCCUGUUUUCCCCAUUUAUCCAUGCUGCAAAUCUACUUAUCAA